UGGGGAAUAUUGCACAAUGGGCGCAAGCCUGAUGCAGCCAUGCCGCGUGUGUGAAGAAGGCCUUCGGGUUGUAAAGCACUUUCAGCGGGGAGGAAGGCGAUAAGGUUAAUAACCUUGUCGAUUGACGUUACCCGCAGAAGAAGCACCGGCUAACUCCGUGCCAGCAGCCGCGGUAAUACGGAGAGUGCAAGCGUUAAUCGGAAUUACUGGGCGUAAAGCGCACGCAGGCGGUCUGUCAAGUCGGAUGUGAAAUCCCCGGGCUCAACCUGGGAACUGCAUUCGAAACUGGCAGGCUAGAGUCUUGUAGAGGGGGGUAGAAUUCCAGGUGUAGCGGUGAAAUGCGUAGAGAUCUGGAGGAAUACCGGUGGCGAAGGCGGCCCCCUGGACGAAGACUGACGCUCAGGUGCGAAAGCGUGGGGAGCAAACAGG
rnacentral:rRNA from 1 species